UUUUGUCUUUUUGCUAUUUCUUUGGGCCGCUCCUGCGCCAUAUGGAGGUUCCCCGGCUAGGGGUCGAAUCGGAGCUGUAGCUGCCAGCCUACGCCGGAGCCACAGCAACGCGGGAUCCGAGCCACGUCUACAACCUACACCACAGCUCACGGCAACGCCGGAUCAUUAACCCACUGAGCAAGGGCAGGGAUCAAACCCGCAACCUCAUGGUUCCUAGUCGGAUUCGUUAACCACUGCGCCACGACGGGAACUCCCAUUUUUGAUUUUUUUAAAGGAAAAAAAAAAGGGAGUUCUUACUGUGGUACAGUGGACCGUGUGUUAAGAAUCUGACUGCAGUCGCUCGGGUCGCUGCAAAGGUGUGGGUUUAAUCCCCAGCCUGGGGCAGUGGGUUAAAGGAUCUGGCGUUGCUGUAGCUAGCAGGGUCACUCAGCCUUAGCACUAUCAACAUUUUGGACCAGACAAUGCUUUGUGGCAGAGGCCGUCUUGUGCAUUGUGGGAAAAUCAGCAGUGUUCCUUGGCACCCACUGGAUGCCAGUAGACCCCCAUCACCGUGGUUACAAACAAAAAAUGUCUCUAAAGAAUGUAACUAUCAUCCAAGGGCCAAUUGGCCUGAUUGAGGCAUACGGAGAGGAAUCCAUCUUCUUCCUCAGACUACCGUCUCUGCCGUGAACCCCAGGGUCAGAAAUAGCAGGGCCAACUCCACUCACGACUCCUCGUCUAAUGCUGGGAACUUGUCCUCCUGGCAGCCGCUACACUUGGCUUUGUGUCCUUUCUCAACCAACCACGACUGGAGAUUAACAGGCCAGUUAGCAUUGGGCUAAGUGCUAACCAAGCAGGGCUGUUCUUUUUCCUCCUUAGCAGCAGGCCAGGGCCAGAUUCACCUUUCCCUUCCAGGGGCCCCUGAUCUCUGGAAGCAUAUGCUCCCUGGGGGAAGGGAAGCUCUUCCCACCCAGCCGCAUCACGCCAAGCCCUGCUGUGAGCUCCAAAGGUGCUGAGUGUCCCAGCUUUGCUACAACUCUGUUGUCUCACGUGGUCUCUGGGAGCAUCUUCAGUGCCCUGCAUCAGCCACGUCAGCCUUCUUAGGCUGCAUUUAGCCUACCACACACAAAAAGCUCUGUGCAGCGGUUUGCAAAGCAGCCAAGGGAUCAGGCCCCUGUUCUGGAGAUGCCCGCUGUCUUUCCAGAUGGUACACCAGGAAAAAGAACAAAAAUAAAUCCAUCAUGCACCGUGCAAAAACCACAUCAUAUUUUAGACUCCACAUAUAAGUGAUGUCAGAUGGUGUUUGUCUUUCUCUUUCCAACUUACUUCACUUAGUCUUAGAAUCUCUAGUUCCAUCCGUGUUGCUGCAAAUAGCAUUAUUGUGUACUUUUUAAUGGCUGAAUAGUAUUCCAUUGUAUAUCUGUACCACAUCAGCUUAAUCCAUUCACCUGUCAAUAGACAUUUGAUUUGUUGCCCUAAACUAUGGCACAAAUAAUCUACAAAGCAGAAACAGAUCACGGAUGUGGAGGGCAGACCUGCAUUUGCUAGCCGGGAGGGAGAGGGAGGGGGACAGCUGGGGAGUUUGGGGUUGGUAGAUGCACACUGUUACAGUUAGAAUGGAUGGGUGAUGGGGUCCUGCUGUAAAGCACAGGAAACUCUGUUCGGUCUCUUGGGUUAGAACAUAAUGGAAAAAAGAAGAAUUGUGUGUGUAUAGGUGGCUGGGUCACUUUGCUGUACAGCAGAAAUUGAAGGAGUAUUGUAAAUCAACUAUACUAAAAAAAUUAAAAAAAGAAAAAACAACCCACAUGGUGGCUGGAGUCACCACGUCUUCCCUCCCUCAACGGCGGGAAUGAGGAGGAAAGAAUUCUGGCCUCCCCAUCUCAGCCAUUCAGUUACCUACAAGUCAGCUAAUUAGAGACACCACCGCUCAGCGGAAACCAAGACAUAAUUCAAAUGAAGGCAGCCAAGCCCAGCUCCCCCAUCUAACACGGGAUAAUUCACUUUUUAUUGUUGUUAUUCAUCAUUACUAAUCCUGAUUAUUAGUCCUGAUUAGCAAGGUGCUUUUUAUGCUAAAUAACCCUUAGGAGAAUCACGCCCAGUAGGCACAUCCAAAUUGAAUGGGGAAGAGCCGGAAUAAUUACCAUUUUGCAACUUGAGGCUGUCAGAAAUGAGUGUUACCUGCUCAGACCACGGUGAAUCAAGAGUCUAGCUGGUCCUCUAUUUUGGGUCUGAACCCAAAGGCAAUGCUACCCAAUGAGGUCCUAUCAUGUGACGUGCAAGUUCAGGCUUUGUGAAUUAUCAAACGUCUCCCCCUUGUCUGGGGAAAUGAAUUUCCAAAUCCAAACACGUGGCAAGUCCAAAUGUGAACCCCAGUUUUAUGUGACUUCUUUCCCAAGCCCCAGAUCCAGCAUUAGUUUGAUGGAGCUCUUUUCAUUUUUUUUUACAAAAUAAUUUUACAAAAUAUUAUUUUCAACAAAAUAGAAAAUAAACUUGCAAUCACAUCUCUGGUGGGAAAAAUGAAUCCGUGUGUUUUUGCUUCAUUUGCAAUUUAAUCACCACACUGUUUUUAAAUCAUCCUUUGGUGAUAUGGAGCCUAUUUAGCCUUAAUGAGCUUUGGGAAAACGGAAGGGGUUUUUUUAUAGAAUAAUUUCUAUUUCAAAAUGAUAUACCAACAAUACAUAAGGUUUAGAAAAGAGAGAAAAACACACAGAAUCCCACUAUCCAAACAAUAUUUGAGGGUACCCCCUCCUUGCAGUGGAUAAGCAAUUUUAACGAGAUGCUCAGUGGAUGAAAGAAGCUAAUCCAAUCAGGAUUUUAGGAGGAGGGCUGGGGGCUUGUUGCCUGAGAAAAUCAAAGCAUGAACUAGCCCCAACUGGGAAGGUGCAUUUUGAAGGAGUUUAGGAAAAACUCACUGUCAUCCCAUUUGUUUAGGCUGGAACACAGUAAAAAAAUCUUCCCCCUCCUGUCCCGCUCUGUUACACGCUUUCAAUGUCCUCCUGCCUCUUCCCUGAUGGAAGGCUUCCUCCUUUAUCUCCAGCUGUCCCAUCAAGGCUGCAUGCUGCCCAGGCCAGACUAGGCAUCUGUGUGCACCCCGGGUGGGCCUCCAACCCCACCAACUGCCGCUGCUCCCCAGAAAGCAAAAACCACAGUGUGGACCCCAGAGUCCCUCAGUCCCUUUGCAGAACAGCCCUGCUAAGGUGAGCCUUCUCACGGACAGGAUGCAGAAGGAUGCCCUGCAGAAGUCUCUUAUACACAGCCCAAGGUGGAAGUGUGGCCACCAUUGGGGUUUUUAAAACUACUUGUCAUUAUAAACAACUUGAGAAUAACCGAAUCAUCUGGAGUUAGAGCACAAAGACGAGUCGAGGGUCUGGGGUUCAUCACAUCCACCCAAAUCCGACCCUUCAGUCCCCAAACACCUUCUCACACAGUAUCAGGACUGGCAUCUCCCAAGUCGUUUUUUCAGUCCUGAAUGCAGCUCUGAACUGAUUGAGUUGAACUUAGAUCAACAGAGGAAAAAAAAGGAAAAAAAAAAAAAAAAAAACCACUCCCCCACAUCCAGCCACCUCACACGUGCACAUUUUCUUCUGUCGUCCUCCACCCAGGGUCUUCUGUCUCCCAGACUUCCACACACUUGAAAGGAUAACAUGCAUCAGAGGAAAUUCAGAACACUCAUCCCAACCUGCGGUGUGUGUGUGUGUGUGUGUGUGUGUGAUGCCUGGUGGGCUAUGACACACAGGCAGUGACCCGGUCCUCCAAUCCCUGCCAGGAACAAAGCCCGUCACCCCAAACCUCCUGGGAUGACUGUCUCAGACCAGAUGCCUACAUGGAGCAAGGAUAAGUAUAGCGUUUCCUCUCUCUCACUCUGUCUCCCUCUCUCCCUUAACCAAAAUACCAUCUGACUUUUUACUUUGAAAACAGAGAGUGGGGAUACCAAUGUGUAAGUACAAUGCAUGCCUAAAAAUAUGUGUGGACUUAAAAAAAGGAUGAAGAACCUGAGAAGAGUCCAAUAAACGAGAUCCCAGAAUCCAGCGCUCCAAAGUUGAGAAAGGAUAUCGUAUUUGAUUGUGCUUGCCACGGUUUUACAUCUUCCAAAAAUGCUAUGGUACAUAGCUCCCUUGUCUCCAGUCAGCAUCUCUAAGAGUGUUUGUAUCUACAUGUUCCUGCUCUGAAAAUAUCACAGAUCCUGGACUCUCCAAGACACCCCAGACACCAGUCAUCUCUGCUGGUGCCUGACUCAUCAUUCAGUCACCGUAUAUCUCACAUGGCCAGGAAGGAAGGAUGGAAGAAGAGGGGGGCGAAGGGGAAGAAGAGAAGGAAGGAAGGAAGGGAAGGAAGAGAAAGAGAGAAAGAAAAAAAGAAAAACGGAAAAGAAAGAGAUCCAUUCCCCACUUUACUCUGUGGUGACUAAGGAAUCCAAGACCGUCUCUUAAGCUGCCCACAUCUGGAAAGAUGGGAGUAAAGUCAGUCUGAUUUGGGUGAGGCAGGAGAAGAGGAAGCAGACAAGGAAGCUCAUCUCCAAGAUGGGGCAGCAAAUGUUUUUUCUGGAGCUGAAGAAGAGACAGUCAGAAGGAUCCAAUCUCAUUAAAGCAGCAACUCAACAACCUCAAGAAGAUAGGGACCCGGAUCUGGAGCUAUGGCUGCAAAUCCAAGCCGCUGCUUUCUGCCCUAGAGUUCAAAGAACCACUCUCUCCUGGCUUUCCUUGGAUGGCUCUGCAUCUCAAGCCCCUACGGUGUUGCCCAGGUUGUUCAUGUGGCACCCCUCAACACCCCCCACCCAGGGCCUCUUCACUUCACGCUCUUUGGGGUCAAGCCACAGGCAGGGUUCAAUUACCGUCUUUGUGCUGAGGAUUUCCAAAUAUCCAUCUCCAGUGCAUGUCCUCAGCUGCUUCAUUUCCAUAGAUGCCUCACAGCUACCAAGAGUCAGCUCCUGCUUCUCCCCGACAAGCCCGUGCAUCCCCAGACUCCCAGUGUCAGAAGUUAGCACUAGUGUCUUCUAGCUGCCCAAGCCGGAAACCUGAACAUCAACCUUAACAUGUCCCACAUUCAAUCAAGCACCAAAUUCCAUCAUUUCGCCUCCUAUCAUGGCCCAAAUCCGCUCCCUUCUCUUCACAUCCCUGUCACAUGGCUGGUCCAAGCCUCCAUCCCUUCUUGCCUGGAUGACAUCAACAAUGUCCUCACCAGGCUCCACCUGACAAACCAUCCACCACUCUGCAGCCAGAAUGAAUGGCCGUCUCAA
rnacentral:lncRNA from 1 species